CACGUAUUUAGCCGGGGCUUCUUAGUCAGGUACCGUCAUUUUCUUCCCUGCUGAUAGGGCUUUACAUACCGAAGUACUCCAUCGCCCACGCGGCGUCGCUGCAUCAGGGUUCCCCCCAUUGUGCAAUAUCCCCCACUGCUGCCUCCCGUAGGAGUCUGGGCCGUGCCUCAGUCCCAAUGUGGCCGUCCACCCUCUCAGGCCGGCUACUGAUCGUCGCCUUGGUGGGCCGUUACCCCGCCAACAAGCUAAUCAGACGCGAGCCCAUCCUGCACCAUAUUACUUUCCACACCGCCCCAUGCGGGGCUGUGCGCCUAUGCGGUAUUAGCAGCCGUUUCCAGCUGUUGUCCCCCAGUGCAGGGCAGGUUGCUCACGCGUUACUCACCCGUCCGCCACUAGGCAGCGCCAAUUUCCGCUCCGAAAAGUUUCCAUCGGCGCGCCCCGUUCGACUUGCAUGUGUUAGGCACGCCGCCAGCGUUCAUCCUGAGCCAGGAUCAAACU
rnacentral:rRNA from 1 species